rnacentral:rRNA from 1 species
GAUGAACGCUGGCGGCGUGCCUAAUACAUGCAAGUCGAGCGAACAGACGAGGAGCUUGCUCCUCUGACGUUAGCGGCGGACGGGUGAGUAACACGUGGAUAACCUACCUAUAAGACUGGGAUAACUUCGGGAAACCGGAGCUAAUACCGGAUAAUAUAUUGAACCGCAUGGUUCAAUAGUGAAAGACGGUUUUGCUGUCACUUAUAGAUGGAUCCGCGCCGCAUUAGCUAGUUGGUAAGGUAACGGCUUACCAAGGCAACGAUGCGUAGCCGACCUGAGAGGGUGAUCGGCCACACUGGAACUGAGACACGGUCCAGACUCCUACGGGAGGCAGCAGUAGGGAAUCUUCCGCAAUGGGCGAAAGCCUGACGGAGCAACGCCGCGUGAGUGAUGAAGGUCUUCGGAUCGUAAAACUCUGUUAUUAGGGAAGAACAAAUGUGUAAGUAACUAUGCACGUUUUGACGGUACCUAAUCAGAAAGCCACGGCUAACUACAUG